rnacentral:rRNA from 1 species
UACGGAGGGAGCUAGCGUUAUUCGGAAUUACUGGGCGUAAAGCGCACGUAGGCGGCUUUGUAAGUUAGAGGUGAAAGCCUGGAGCUCAACUCCAGAAUUGCCUUUAAGGACUGCAUCGCUUGAAUCCAGGAGAGGUGAGUGGAAUUCCGAGUGUAGAGGUGAAAUUCGUAGAUAUUCGGAAGAACACCAGUGGCGAAGGCGGCUCACUGGACUGGUAUUGACGCUGAGGUGCGAAAGCGUGGGGAGCAAACAGG